GCAGCAAAACACUCCCACCUUUCUUCUCUCUGUUUUGCCAAUCGAAUUUUAAAGAAAAUCCAUUCGGUCUAUCACUUCAUCUCUUCCCAACACCACCCAAUUCCUCGCCGGAAACAACUGUUAUCCGGCGGAGAAACCCCCUUUCACCGCCGACCCAUUGCCAUGUCCACCACUCCUAUCUCCUAUCCAAUAACCUCAAGACCCUUCCUUUCUCUCACACCCGCCACCGCAGCCUCAAAACUCUUUGCAAACCCGAAUUACCACACCCAAAGCUCUCUCUUUUCCUCCUCUUCGUCUUCCUCCAGUCAUUUCCCCAAAAGGGUAUUCAGAAAUGGGGUUUCUCUGUCGAUAAGAGCUUGCUCGACGUCGCCGUUUAUCGGCAGAGUCGGGUCGCAGAGGAGGGAAGGCAACGCGUCGAUGCUGUCGUUUGGGAUAAACCCAUCAGCUCAAAUAUCCAAAGGGGCUUCCGAUGCUCGUCGUCUCAGGUCUUAUCUGCAAUGCUUCCUUUCGUCGUUGCUGCUACCGCCAUUGCUGCUCUGGCUCAGCCGUCAACGUUCACUUGGGUAUCCAAGGAUUUAUAUGCCCCUGCUCUUGGUGGGAUCAUGCUGUCAAUUGGAAUCAAACUUUCGAUUGAUGAUUUUGCUCUUGCAUUCAAAAGACCUUUACCACUCUCUGUUGGGUUUAUCGCGCAGUAUGUGCUGAAACCGCUACUUGGGGUACUAAUUGCAAACGCAUUUGGCGUGCCGAGGAUGUUCUACGCUGGCUUUGUUCUCACCGCUUGUGUUGCAGGGGCUCAGCUAUCUAGCUACGCUAGUUUCUUGAGCAAAGGAGAUGUGGCCUUGAGCAUUCUCCUUACCAGCACCACCACCAUUGCUUCCGUGAUUGCAACGCCUUUACUAACUGGCCUUUUAAUCGGUUCUGUUGUUCCGGUUGAUGCUGUUGCCAUGUCAAAGUCAAUAUUGCAGGUGGUUCUUGUUCCAGUUACAAUUGGUCUUGUGCUCAAUACUUAUGCAAAACCGGUAGUCAAUUUCCUUCGACCAGUGAUGCCAGUUGUUGCUAUGAUUUGCACUUCAUUGUGCAUUGGUAGUCCUCUUGCAAUUAAUCGGAGUCAAAUUCUAUCCGUAGAAGGUUUCCGGUUGAUAUUUCCAGUCAUAGCAUUUCACGCUGUGGCCUUUACACUUGGAUACUGGGUAUCCAAAUCUCCAGGUUUGAGGCAAGAAGAAGAAGUUAGCAGGACACUUUCCUUAUGCACAGGAAUGCAGAGUUCCACUUUGGCAGGGCUCCUUGCAAGCCAGUUCCUUGGGAGCAGCCAGGCCGUUCCUCCAGCAUGUUCAGUUGUUGCCAUGGCCAUCAUGGGCCUUUUUCUUGCAUCUUUCUGGGGCACCGGCUCUCGAAUCAGAGACCUGCUGUCCCUACUAACGCCUCAAACAGGUUCUCCAAUGAAGGCGUAGCAAUGAAAACAACAAUCAGGGAACUCACGGGGCAUAUAUAAUGCUAAUUUAGUUCACACUGAUGGUUGGGGUUACUUACGCAGAACAUUACAAGGACGGUACAAUAAAAGAGAUGAUCCCGGCGGUCAUGUUGAACCACCUUAACCGGUUUGGAAAGCAACUACUGCAUACAGAGAGGAUUGGGAAUCGAAUAUAGAUGGCGAGAAAACAUAGUUUAGGAUAGAGUUGUAAAGUUGUAAAGUUGUAAAGUUGUAAAGUUGUGAAGCUUUUUAUACCAUCAUGUGUAUAUUUAUGUUGUUACCUUGUAAGUAAUGAUAAAGGUUUACAAAUGUCAUCCCCUCUCUC